UACGUAGGGUGCAAGCGUUGUCCGGAAUUAUUGGGCGUAAAGAGCUCGUAGGCGGUCUGUUGCGUCGGCUGUGAAAACCCGGGGCUCAACCCCGGGCCUGCAGCCGAUACGGGCAGACUAGAGUUCGGCAGGGGAGACUGGAAUUCCUGGUGUAGCGGUGAAAUGCGUAGAUAUCAGGAGGAACACCGGUGGUGUAGACGGCUCACUGGACCAUAACUGACGCUGAGACACGAAAGCGUGGGUAGUAAACAGG
rnacentral:rRNA from 1 species